AGAAUCAACGCUGGCGGCGUGCCUAACACAUGCAAGUCGAACGCGGUUAUCCCGCAAGGGAUAACUGAGUGGCGAACGGGUGAGUAACACGUGGGUGACCUACCUUCGAGUGGGGGAUAACGUUCCGAAAGGAACGCUAAUACCGCAUAACAUCCUGCCUUUGAACAGGCGGAGAUCAAAGCCGGGGAUCGUAAGACCUGGCGCUUGAUGAGGGGCCCGCGUCCGAUUAGCUAGUUGGUGAGGUAACGGCCCACCAAGGCGACGAUC
rnacentral:rRNA from 1 species